rnacentral:lncRNA from 1 species
GGUAGUUCAUACAACAAAACAUUAAUCAAUCAUUAACCUUCUUACUGAUACUACUCUUAUCUUAGUACUAGUCUAUCAAGUCUCAUCACUUCACUCCAACUAUCUCGAUCUCCUAUCAAUCAAACUUCCUAAGUUAAUCACCAUUUCUAUUCCCGACUUAUCACCUAAUUUAGGACUUGAGUUCAUCAAGAAAUAAACACAUAGACAAGCACACAGAAUGACUAAACAAGUUUGAUGGCAUCUUAGCAAACAUAUUCAAAACUUUUUGUAAAAUCGGGAAAAAUA